rnacentral:rRNA from 1 species
CCCUUAGAUGAUUUGGGCUGCACGCGCGCUACACUGACCCUAACAAUGAGCAACUGUCUGGCCUGAGAUGGCUGGGUAGCCUUUUCAACCCAUGUCAUGAUUGGGCUAGAUUUUUGUAAGUCUUGAUCUCUAACGAGGAAUCCCUAGUAUGCGUGAAUCAUCAAUCCAUGCAGAUUAUGUCCCUGCCCUUUGUACACACCGCCCGUCGCUCCUACUGAUUGGGUGAUCCGGUGCGCUGUUCGGCCAUAGCAAUGUUUCUUGAGCAGGGCAAUGAAUGUUUCGCAAACCUUGCCACUUAGAGGAAGGAGAAGUCGUAACA